rnacentral:rRNA from 1 species
CAAUAGCGUAUAUUAAAGUUGUUGCAGUUAAAAAGCUCGUAGUUGGAUUUCUGGUAGGAGCGACCGUGCCGAACUUGAUUGUUCGAGUAUUGUGUUGUCUUCAGCCAUCCUCGUGGAGAACUUUUCUAACAUUAACUUGUUGGGAUUGGGACCCGCGUCGUUUACCGUGAAAAAAUUAGAGUGUUUAAAGCAGGCAUUAGCUUGAAUACAUUAGCAUGGAAUAAUAAGAUAGGACUUUGGUACUAUUUUGUUGGUUUGCAUACCAAAUUAAUGAUCAACAGGAACAGUUUGAGGAUAUUCGUAUGAACAUGUCAGAGGUGAAAUUCUUGGAUUUUGAUCAGACGAACUACUGCGAAAGCAUUUAUCAAGGAUGUUCUCAUUAA